GGCUCAGAGCGAACGCUGGCGGCAGGCUUAACACAUGCAAGUCGAGCGGGCGUAGCAAUACGUCAGCGGCAGACGGGUGAGUAACGCGUGGGAACGUACCUUUUGGUUCGGAACAACACAGGGAAACUUGUGCUAAUACCGGAUAAGCCCUUACGGGGAAAGAUUUAUCGCCGAAAGAUCGGCCCGCGUCUGAUUAGCUAGUUGGUGAGGUAAUGGCUCACCAAGGCGACGAUCAGUAGCUGGUCUGAGAGGAUGAUCAGCCACAUUGGGACUGAGACACGGCCCAAACUCCUACGGGAGGCAGCAGUGGGGAAUAUUGGACAAUGGGGGCAACCCUGAUCCAGCCAUGCCGCGUGAGUGAUGAAGGCCCUAGGGUUGUAAAGCUCUUUU
rnacentral:rRNA from 1 species